UCCCUGGUGGUCCAGUGGUUAAGCUUCUGCACUCUCAGUGCAGGGGGCCCAGGUUCAAUCCCUGGUUGGAGAA
rnacentral:tRNA from 1 species